UACAGAGGGUGCGAGCGUUAAUCGGAAUUACUGGGCGUAAAGGGCGCGUAGGCGGACUGUUAAGUGAGUUGUGAAAUACCUGGGCUUAACCUGGGGAGGACGGCUUAAACUGGUGGUCUGGAGUACAGUAGAGGGUAGAGGAAUUUCCGGUGUAGCGGUGAAAUGCGUAGAUAUCGGAAGGAACACCGGUGGCGAAGGCGGCUACCUGGACUGAUACUGACGCUGAGGCGCGAGAGCGUGGGGAGCAAACAGG
rnacentral:misc_RNA from 1 species